GCCUUUGUGGUGUAGUGGUCAGCACGUUUGGCUUGUAUUUGAGAGGUCCGUCGUUCGAAUACCGGCGAGGGCG
rnacentral:tRNA from 1 species